UCCAGGCCCUACGGGGCGCAGCAGGCGCGAAACCUUCGCAAUGCCCGAAAGGGUGACGAGGCUACCCCCGAGUGCCGUCCGCUAAGGACGGCUUUUGUCGGGUCUAAAAGACCCGACGAAUAAGGGAGGGCGAAGUCUGGUGUCAGCCGCCGCGGUAA
rnacentral:rRNA from 1 species